GAUGAACGCUGGCGGCGUGCCUAAUACAUGCAAGUCGAGCGAACGGACGAGAAGCUUGCUUCUCUGAUGUUAGCGGCGGACGGGUGAGUAACACGUGGAUAACCUACCUAUAAGACUGGGAUAACUUCGGGAAACCGGAGCUAAUACCAGAUGAUAUUUUGAACCGCAUGGUUCAAAAGUGAAAGACGGUCUUGCUGUCACUUAUAGAUGGAUCCGCGCUGCAUUAGCUAGUUGGUAAGGUAACGGCUUACCAAGGCAACGAUGCAUAGCCGACCUGAGAGGGUGAUCGGCCACACUGGAACUGAGACACGGUCCAGACUCCUACGGGAGGCAGCAGUAGGGAAUCUUCCGCAAAGGGCGAAAGCCUGACGGAGCAACGCCGCGUGAGUGAUGAAGGUCUUCGGAUCGUAAAACUCUGUUAUUAGGGAAGAACAUAUGUGUAAGUAACUGUGCACAUCUUGACGGUACCUAAUCAGAAAGCCACGGCUAACUACGUG
rnacentral:rRNA from 1 species